rnacentral:rRNA from 1 species
UAAAGAUUCAUCGCUGAUAGAUAGGCAUGCGUUCCAUUAGGCAGUUGGCGGGGUAACGGCCCACCAAACCGACGAUGGAUAGGGGUUCUGAGAGGAAGGUCCCCCACAUUGGUACUGAGACACGGACCAAACUCCCACGGGAGGCAGCAGUGAGGAAUAUUGGUCAAUGGGCGUAAGCCUGAACCAGCCAAGUCGCGUGAGAGAUGAAGGUUCUAUGGAUCGUAAACCUCUUUUAUAAGGGAAUAAAGUGUGGGACGUGUCCUAUUUUGUAUGUACCUUAUGAAUAAGGAUCGGCUAACUCCGUGCCAGCAGCCGCGGUAAUACGGAGGAUCCGAGCGUUAUCCGGAUUUAUUGGGUUUAAAGGGUGCGUAGGCGGCCUUUUAAGUCAGCGGUGAAAGUCUGUGGCUCAACCAUAGAAUUGCCGUUGAAACUGGGGGGCUUGAGUAUGUUUGAGGCAGGCGGAAUGCGUGGUGUAGCGGUGAAAUGCUUAGAUAUCACGCAGAACCCCGAUUGCGAAGGCAGCCUGCCAAGCCAUGACUGACGCUGAUGCACGAAAGCGUGGGGAUCAAACAGGAUUAGAUACCCUGGUAGUCCACGCAGUAAACGAUGAUCACUAGCUGUUUGCGAUACAGUGUAA